AUUGAACGCUGGCGGCAGGCCUAACACAUGCAAGUCGAGCGGGGACUUCGGUCCUAGCGGCGCACGGGUGAGUAAUGCUUGGGAAUCUGCCCAGUAGUGGGGGAUAACGUCCCGAAAGGGACGCUAAUACCGCAUACGUCCUACGGGAGAAAGAGGGGGAUCUUCGGACCUCUCGCUAUUGGAUGAGCCCAAGUCGGAUUAGCUAGUUGGUAGGGUAAUGGCCUACCAAGGCGACGAUCCGUAGCUGGUCUGAGAGGAUGAUCAGCCACACUGGAACUGAGACACGGUCCAGACUCCUACGGGAGGCAGCAGUGGGGAAUAUUGGACAAUGGGCGAAAGCCUGAUCCAGCCAUGCCGCGUGUGUGAAGAAGGCCUUCGGGUUGUAAAGCACUUUAAGCGGGGAGGAAGGUUCGCGGCCUAAUACGUCGCGGAAUUGACGUUACCCGCAGAAUAAGCACCGGCUAACUCUGUG
rnacentral:rRNA from 1 species